rnacentral:rRNA from 1 species
GGGCCCGCACAAGCGGUGGAGUAUGUGGUUUAAUUCGAUGCAACGCGAAGAACCUUACCAGGGUUUGACAUCCUGCGAAUCUCUUGGAAACAGGAGAGUGCCUUCGGGAACGCAGUGACAGGUGGUGCAUGGCUGUCGUCAGCUCGUGUCGUGAGAUGUUGGGUUAAGUUCCGCAACGAGCGCAACCCUUAUCUUCAGUUGCCAUCAGGUUAAGCUGGGCACUCUGAAGAGACUGCCGGUGAUAAGCCGGAGGAAGGCGGGGAUGACGUCAAGUCAUCAUGCCCCUUACAUCCUGGGCUACACACGUACUACAAUGCUACGGACAAAGGGCAGCAAGUUCGCGAGGACAAGCAAAUCCCAUAAACCGUGGCUCAGUUCAGAUCGUAGGCUGCAACUCGCCUACGUGAAGGCGGAAUCGCUAGUAAUCGC